GUUUCAAAUCCCAACCCUAACUUACGAACUACCACUUUUUCCUCUUAUCUUGCUACUGCCGACGAAGAACAAGACCACCCAUGGCUUCCGGUGUUCGGUUCAAGGCUCUUUUAUGGUCCCCUCCAUCGCUAGGUCGCUAAGGUACUUGCCACGGUUAGGUGCACUGCGUGAUGUCAAAAACCUUUUCGUCUCGUAACAUUGCAUUUAUUACAUUUAUUUUUUGUUGGAUAGGGCAUUUGUUUUGACGUACGUUUUUACCUUACAUUUAUUACUCUUCCGCAUUACUUUUAAACUGUUGACUUUGGUAAAACUAUUUUUCUCAUGUAAAGGUCAUUCGAUAUGACUGGUGUCUAGAUCCUGGUUUGUCACACGCCUCGCAGUAAAACUCCGCAAGUGGAAUCUGAGGGUGUGACAACAUCACUAUGGGGAGAUCCAUCAAUAAAAGUUGUUGUCGAGGGAAUUCCUAUAUGGUAGAAGGUACUCGAAGAAAUGGUUGUAGGUAGUCUCAUUUACAAUAGAUUACCAACAUACAUUACCGCGGGAUCACCAAAAAGUACUUUACUAAUGAUACACUAACAACUACUGUAAACAAAUUCUUGUAUUUGAUGGUUACUUUAGCGACAUAAGACCAAAAGAUCAUUUAUUGGAUGAUUAUCGACCGGUUUCUUUAAGUUGUACCGAGAGAACUCACCCGAUAAUAUAUGUUCUGUUGCUGAUGAUGAAAGCAAAAACACAAGGGAACCAUCAUCCCUGCCUAAUGAAAUAAGUUAAAGUAUAGUCACAAGUCCAAUAGUUUUUCUCCCCUUGAAAGCUUCUUAAAACAGAUGCCCCAACUACUGUCACAUCAAACUACUGCCUUCAAAGAAUCAGAGUUUAGAAGAACAAGUAUUGAUUGUCAAAGUGAAAGUUAACAAGUCAACAGUCAAAGUCAAUCAAAGUCAAAGGCAGAAGACUAGAAGACCAAGUCAACAAGUCAAAGACAUAAGUUCUCAAUUUCCAGAAAUGUUGGCUCUCAACCAGUAAUUCUGUGAAAUCCAGCAGUUCAUAAUAAACUUACAAAAGGAGCAACCAUUCAAUGCAACAAUGUAACUAUCCAGCAAUUAUUUCUAGCAGUUACAUCAUUUAAUGAAGUUCUUAAGGGUCGCUU
rnacentral:lncRNA from 1 species